GGGGAAUCUUGCGCAAUGGGCGAAAGCGUGACGCAGCAACGCCGCGUGCGGGAAGAAGGCCUUCCGGUUGUAAACCUCUUUCAGGAGGGACGAAGCUACUCGGGUUAAUAGCCCAGAGGGUGACGGUACCUCCAGAAGAAGCCCCGGCUAACUACGUGCCAGCAGCCGCGGUAAUACGUAGGGGGCAAGCGUUGUCCGGCAUCAUUGGGCGUAAAGCGCGUGUAGGCGGCCAGGUAAGUCCGCUGUGAAAACUCGAGGCUCAACUUCGAGCUGUCGGUGGAAACUAUCUGGCUAGAGUCCGGAAGAGGAGAAUGGAAUUCCUGGUGUAGCGGUGAAAUGCGCAGAUAUCAGGAAGAACACCCGUGGCGAAGGCGGUUCUCUGGGACGGUACUGACGCUGAGACGCGAAAGCGUGGGGAGCGAAC
rnacentral:rRNA from 1 species